rnacentral:rRNA from 1 species
AUACGUAGGGUGCGAGCGUUAAUCGGAAUUACUGGGCGUAAAGCGUGCGCAGGUGGUUUUGUAAGUCAGAUGUGAAAUCCCCGGGCUUAACCUGGGAACUGCGUUUGAAACUGCAAGGCUCGAGUGUGGCAGAGGGGGGUGGAAUUCCGCGUGUAGCAGUGAAAUGCGUAGAGAUGUGGAGGAACACCAAUGGCGAAGGCAGCCCCCUGGGUCAACACUGACGCUCAGGCACGAAAGCAUGGGGAGCAAACAGGAUUAGAUACCCCAGUAGUCC